rnacentral:rRNA from 1 species
UACGGAGGGGGCUAGCGUUGCUCGGAAUCACUGGGCGUAAAGCGCACGUAGGCGGCUUUUUAAGUCAGGGGUGAAAUCCUGGAGCUCAACUCCAGAACUGCCUUUGAUACUGAGAGCUUGAGUCCGGGAGAGGUGAGUGGAACUGCGAGUGUAGAGGUGAAAUUCGUAGAUAUUCGCAAGAACACCAGUGGCGAAGGCGGCUCACUGGCCCGGUACUGACGCUGAGGUGCGAAAGCGUGGGGAGCAACAGG